UACGAAGGGGGCUAGCGUUGUUCGGAAUUACUGGGCGUAAAGCGUGCGCAGGCGGCUUCUCAAGUCAGGGGUGAAAGCCCAGAGCUCAACUCUGGAAUUGCCUUUGAGACUGAGUGGCUUGAGUACGAGAGAGGUGAGUGGAAUUCCCAGUGUAGAGGUGAAAUUCGUAGAUAUUGGGAAGAACACCGGUGGCGAAGGCGGCUCACUGGCCCGGUACUGACGCUGAGGUGCGAAAGCGUGGGGAGCAAACAGG
rnacentral:rRNA from 1 species